GAGUUUGAUCGUGGCUCAGAUUGAACGCUGGCGGCAGGCCUAACACAUGCAAGUCGAGCGGAUGACGGGAGCUUGCUCCUUGAUUCAGCGGCGGACGGGUGAGUAAUGCCUAGGAAUCUGCCUGGUAGUGGGGGACAACGUUUCGAAAGGAACGCUAAUACCGCAUACGUCCUACGGGAGAAAGCAGGGGACCUUCGGGCCUUGCGCUAUCAGAUGAGCCUAGGUCGGAUUAGCUAGUUGGUGGGGUAAUGGCUCACCAAGGCGACGAUCCGUAACUGGUCUGAGAGGAUGAUCAGUCACACUGGAACUGAGACACGGUCCAGACUCCUACGGGAGGCAGCAGUGGGGAAUAUUGGACAAUGGGCGAAAGCCUGAUCCAGCCAUGCCGCGUGUGUGAAGAAGGUCUUCGGAUUGUAAAGCACUUUAAGUUGGGAGAAGGGCAGUAAGUUAAUACCUUGCUGUUUUGACGUUACCGACAGAAUAAGCACCGGCUAACUCUGUGCCAGC
rnacentral:rRNA from 1 species